rnacentral:rRNA from 1 species
UACGGAGGGUGCAAGCGUUAAUCGGAAUUACUGGGCGUAAAGCGCACGUAGGUGGUUUGUUAAGCCAGCUGUGAAAUCCCCGGGCUCAACCUGGGCACUGCAGUUGGAACUGGCAAGCUAGAGUAGGGUAGAGGGGUGUGGAAUUCCAGGUGUAGCGGUGAAAUGCGUAGAUAUCUGGAGGAAUACCGGUGGCGAAGGCGGCAUCCUGGACCGACAUUGACGCUGAGGAGCGAAAGCUAGGGGAGCAAACGGG